UAUGUGAGGAGGAAAGCUAACCUUUAUCUUCCCUAGAGACCUCAAACUUAAGGACACUCAGAGAAGGGUGUCAGAUUCCCCAUGCUUUAAAGGGAGCAUCUCAGCUCUAUCAUCACCAGCAGUCCUCCUGAUAACCUUUCAGCAGCCCCUUCAAGGUCAUGGCACUGAUAUUAAAAGUUGUGGGCUGUAACUACCUGAGAAAGGACUUCCCUACCUCUUUUGCUUGGCGUGGGGUAAAAAGUAUGUGGGUUUUUGUUUUGUCUUACUUAAAAAUAUUUGUUCAAUUUUAAU
rnacentral:lncRNA from 1 species